GUAUAAGAGACAGCAGUCGCCGCGGGAAUACGGAGGGUGCAAGCGUUAAUCGGAAUUACUGGGCGUAAAGCGCACGCAGGCGGUCUGACAAGUCAGAUGUGAAAUCCCCGGGCUUAACCUGGGAACUGCAUUUGAAACUGUCAGGCUGGAGUCUUGUAGAGGGGGGUGGAAUUCCAGGUGUAGCGGUGAAAUGCGUAGAGAUCUGGAGGAAUACCGGUGGCGAAGGCGGCCCCCUGGACAAAGACUGACGCUCAGGUGCGAAAGCGUGGGGAGCAAACAGGAUUAGAUACCCGUGUAGUCCCUGUCUCUUAUAC
rnacentral:rRNA from 1 species